rnacentral:sRNA from 1 species
CUAUCUGCGAUAUGGAAGAUUCGAACCUGCCGCAGGUUCGGGUCGAACGCAGUGAGACAACGGAGCCGUUUACGGCGACGGCCCGUAGGGCGAGCGAAGCGAGUCAUCCUGCACGACCCACCA